GAAGUAGAGAGGAGACAUUACUGGAAUUGGCAGCAGAGGAGAGAGGAGUGUCCUGUUUAGAUCACAUGACCACAUCAAUGAGGAUGGGGAAAGACUAAAGCCAAGUGACUGAGAGGAUAUUAGACCUUACCCUGGAGAUCAUCUACCUGCUGACCGGAGAGGAUUAUAAAGUAGAAAACAUCUGGUGAUCCAUUAACACCCAGCAGUUGUCCGCGGGGGGAGUCGCCCAUCACAGUGUCUCCACGUCACUGCCUGACACCAAAGGGUAAAGAGAAGGAAUUUCUAAAGGUCAUCAAGAAGAUGAUGGAGCUUCUGAUAGGAGAGGUGAGCGGUGCCGGGAAUUCUGGGACAUUAUCCAGUAACAGACAAGGGAUCCCUCCCCAGGAUCGGGAUGAGGAACAGAAAGACGAGGAAGAAGAGGAAGAGACGGUGAGUGGAGAUCGGUCCGCAGAGGAGGUGAGAUGUUUAGGACGAGUACCAUACCAUAAAACCUUUUUCUUGGAGAUCAUUGAGGGACACAGGAACAGUAGAAAUCAUAAACAAUUACCCACAGAAAAGGUUUGGGUCAAGGUCCUUCAAGAAGAAGGUGCCAUUAAAUGGGCAAAGA